UCCGUAGGGGGCAAGCGUUGUCCGGAAUCAUUGGGCGUAAAGAGCGUGUAGGCGGCCCGGUAAGUCCGCUGUGAAAGUCCAGGGCUCAACCCUGGGAUGCCGGUGGAUACUGUCGGGCUCGAGUCCGGAAGAGGAGUGUGGAAUUCCUGGUGUAGCGGUGAAAUGCGCAGAUAUCGGGAGGAACACCCGUAGCGAAGGCGGCACUCUGGGCCGGUACUGACGCUGAGGAGCGAAAGCCAGGGGAGCAAACGGG
rnacentral:rRNA from 1 species